CCCUUAGAGUUUGAUCCUGGCUCAGGAUGAACGCUAGCUACAGGCUUAACACAUGCAAGUCGAGGGGCAUCAGGAAGAAAGCUUGCUUUCUUUGCUGGCGACCGGCGCACGGGUGAGUAACACGUAUCCAACCUGCCCUUUACUCGGGGAUAGCCUUUCGAAAGAAAGACUAAUACCCGAUAGUAUAAUGAUUCCGCAUGGUUUCAUUAUUAAAGGAUUCCGGUAAAGGAUGGGGAUGCGUUCCAUUAGGUUGUUGGUGAGGUAACGGCUCACCAAGCCUUCGAUGGAUAGGGGUUCUGAGAGGAAGGUCCCCCACAUUGGAACUGAGACACGGUCCAAACUCCUACGGGAGGCAGCAGUGAGGAAUAUUGGUCAAUGGGCGUUAGCCUGAACCAGCCAAGUAGCGUGAAGGAUGAAGGCUCUAUGGGUCGUAAACUUCUUUUAUAUAAGAAUAAAGUGCAGUAUGUAU
rnacentral:rRNA from 1 species